rnacentral:rRNA from 1 species
UUGAACGCUGGCGGCAGGCCUAACACAUGCAAGUCGAGCGGAUGAAGGGAGCUUGCUCCUGGAUUCAGCGGCGGACGGGUGAGUAAUGCCUGGGAAUCUGCCUGGUAGUGGGGGAUAACGUCCGGAAACGGGCGCUAAUACCGCAUACGUCCUGAGGGAGAAAGUGGGGGAUCUUCGGACCUCACGCUAUCAGAUGAGCCUAGGUCGGAUUAGCUAGUUGGUGGGGUAAAGGCCUACCAAGGCGACGAUCCGUAACUGGUCUGAGAGGAUGAUCAGUCACACUGGAACUGAGACACGGUCCAGACUCCUACGGGAGGCAGCAGUGGGGAAUAUUGGACAAUGGGCGAAAGCCUGAUCCAGCCAUGCCGCGUGUGUGAAGAAGGUCUUCGGAUUGUAAAGCACUUUAAGUUGGGAGGAAGGGCAGUAAGUUAAUACCUUGCUGUUUUGACGUUACCAACAGAAUAAGCACCGGCUAACUUCGUG